UUGGAAACGACUGCUAAUACCCCAUAUGCCGAGAGGUGAAAUGAAAUUCGCCUGAGGAUGAGCUCGCGUCUGAUUAGCUAGUUGGUGGGGUAAGGGCCUACCAAGGCAUCGAUCAGUAGCUGGUCUGAGAGGAUGAUCAGCCACACUGGGACUGAGAUACGGCCCAGACUCCUACGGGAGGCAGCAGUGGGGAAUCUUGCACAAUGGGCGAAAGCCUGAUGCAGCGAUGCCGCGUGAGUGAAGAAGGCCUUUGGGUUGUAAAGCUCUUUUGUCGGGAAAGAUAAUGACUGUACCCGAAGAAUAAGGUCCGGCUAACUUCGUGCCAGCAGCCGCGGUAAUACGAAGGGACCUAGCGUAGUUCGGAAUUACUGGGCGUAAAGAGUAUGUAGGCGGCUAGAUAAGUUAAUUGUGAAAGCCCAAAGCUUAACUUUGGAAUUGCAAUUAAAACUAUUUAGCUAGAGUAUGAUAGAGGAAAGCGGAAUACAUAGUGUAGAGGUGAAAUUCGUAGAUAUUAUGUAGAACACCAGUUGCGAAGGCGGC
rnacentral:rRNA from 1 species